CGACUCUCGGCAACGGAUAUCUCGGCUCUCGCAUCGAUGAAGAACGUAGCGAAAUGCGAUACUUGGUGUGAAUUGCAGAAUCCCGUGAACCAUAGAGUCUUUGAACGCAAGUUGCGCCCCAAGCCUUCUGGCCGAGGGCACGUCUGCCUGGGUGUCACAAAUCGUCGUCC
rnacentral:rRNA from 1 species